ensembl:lncRNA
AUAUUUUCAGGCAGCUAUUGAGCUUUUCUAGAGGAAGAGCUGAUGAAAAGAGUCACAGCUGAAUAGUGGAGAGAAAAAGCCCGGUAUUUAUUGCUUUUGUUUGGCUUUUGGCUACAGAGACAGGAACCUUCUAAUGGGAAUUGACAGUGCAGUGAAGCUCUGGUCCAGUGGAGUAGAACACCUGCAGACCCACAGGUGAAGAGAGAGGGACCAAGGGAUGAAGGCCCUGGAAGAGUAAAAACAGAGUAAAGUUUUACAGAGUAAAACAGUACAAGAAAGAAUCACAUACUGUAAUUGAUCCACCAUGGAACUCAGCAGAGGAAAUCAUCACAAGAUCCAUCACAUUGUGAGCAAAGACAUGAGAGACAUAUGAAAGAUUCUGGGUAUAAAAGCACCCAGGAGAAGGCUGGCACUCAACUCGUCACUUCCUCUUUCCCUUUCCUGCAUCCUUUUCCUGUCAGGCUGGAUAA